GCCGUUGCGGUGAGUUCAUUUUAGAAUUCCUGCCUUUUUCUUUCUAUUUUUAGUUUUUCUUUCUAUUCUUGUGAUUGCCUAUUUUACAUCCGUAUGGUAUGCUUUUCUUUGUAGAAUUUUCUGGCCUUUUGAUUCUUGCGAGGAGCCUUCUUUGAAGCUAUCCUUUGUCAUUUGUAUAGUUGUACCUUUGUAAACCACCACUGCCGUCUAUAUUAUUUGUCCUUCAAUUUUUGUUUCUUUUUCUGAACCACACGAUUUCUCUUUUAGCUGAUGGUCUCGAGACCAGAAAAGGUUCCAUCUUUCUCUCUCCUCUUUUCAUUUCCUCCUCUCUUCUUUCCCUCUUUACUUUUCUUCCAUAGGGACAAGCCAACAACAGUCCAACCGUCAAAUGUCCACCUGUUUGAGUUCAAUUUUUUUUCCAGAUAUCAUGUCCAUCUGUUUGAUUUAUAUUACAGCAAGAGAAAUGGGACAAAGAAAAACGUAAGCCAUGAAAAAAAGAAGCAGAAAGGGAGAAAAUGGUUCUUCAUCAAAACAUAGAAAGAAAAUGAGCAGAAGAAUAAGCAGAUGAAGAGAAAAGUAUAAAUUCUCAGCCUAAUCUAAAAACUAUCAAAAAAUCUCAGGACAAGAAAUGUACGGAGACUUUUGUGAGAAGGCUGGAUGGGCUUUAAGUUUAACCGCCCUUGUGGAAGUGGGAUCAUCAAUUGUAGCUGAGGCUUAAUCUUUAGUGAGUUAUUCUUUGUAGUUCACUGAACCUUCAAAUGUUCUCUCCUUAAUUAUCUCAGUUGUUCAUGUCUCCAGUGUAGUUGAAUUGUAACAUUAAUUACAAUUUAUCUCUCAUUUAGGGAGUGUGCAUGCUUGUGUGCGGAAGGUCUGAUGAGUUUUAUGCAUAUUUUUUGUGUUGAAGGAUCACUACUAUGGCUUUGGUUUGGCCAUUUGGGGAAAAAUCUGGGACUUGUAGAAGAAAAUCUUUUUUUUGAUUGAUUAGAGGAAAAAAUGUAUAUCGUGCUCAUUGUGCUUUCUGUGUAAAUCUUCCCAACAAUAGGAACAUUCUUUCCAAUAAAUUUAAAACCAAG